UCUCCCUAAAUGUUUCUAAAGUCCAUCCGUGUCAUGGCAUCUAUCAGAAUUCCGUCGUUCUGUAUAUUCCACUAGGCCGGCUUUGGGAAGGGUCCAAGCGGCCCUGCUCGGCCACACGGGUCCCACUCAGCCCUGGGCCCUGCCCAGCCAUCACUGUGGGGCGUGAGGCCAGGCCUCUGGGCCGCCUGCACCCGAGGACGUGGUGGACCCUUCCUUUUCCAUCCGUCCUCUUUGACUCCGGGUUCACGAGCCACGGGUGCUCGGAGGGGUUUGCGGGGAAAACACGGGAGAAGCCAAGAGCGAGUUAUUCCUUGGAUUUUGUGAAACACCAAGACGCUGAGAAAUAUGGAGCAGAAAAUCUGUUUGCUUUUGUAUAACCAGUCGCACAGAGCGACCCUCUGUGUCUGUUGCCAUGGGGACCGUGGGAAGGUGAACUGCUCAGUUCAUCUCAGGGCCUGUGGGGCCGAGGACCGUUGGUCAGUGCCGGGGUGGUUAGUGAGAGGCAGGGCCCGUCUACCGGCCACACCUUCGCGCUGGGCACGUCUCUCCACUCAGGACACCUGGGGAGCCUCACCUUGCGUGGAAACGUGAUUUGAGUCCUGGCACCCCCGUGGCUAUCAUGUGAUCCUGAAGUCACUGAGCAUUCAUCUCAGAAGGAGCCAGGAUUCCUUCUUUCUACAGGCAGCCUCACAGUCUCAACUGGCUGCUGGAGCUCCAGCCAUUGUGUCCACCGUCAAAGGAGCAGAAAAGGAGAAAGAGAGGAAGAAGGGCUGAAGCGCCCCGGCCUUUUGUGUCCCCAUAUAGACUUGCCUGCCCCGUUCCGUUCCUCUGGAGUUUCUCCCUGGCCUCCUCGGAUGCCAUCUCUCACUGACCCUCGGGUCCCCUCCCCUUCCGGCUGGGCCACCCCGUCCCGCCCACCCGGGCCUGUCGAGAAGGGAGACGGGGUCCACCAGGACAUCAUCACCCUCGAAUCCACCCUGCCAGGCGCUCAGGGUUGCUGUCUGUAGAUGUUGGGGAGACGCCAUCAGAGAGAGAGGGAUGCUGGGACCAUCCCCUCGUAGAGACAGGGGUACUGUGGACACACUCUCAGAGAGAGGGAUGCUGGGAACAUCUUCAGAGAGAGGGAUGCUGGGGACACACCCUCAGAGAGAGCUGCUCGCCCUCAGAGAACCAGGACCUGUGACUACCUGUCGACGGAAGCCUGAUUCCGAAGUUUAAGUGCAGAAAGGGACCAUCCUGAGGCGUUGUAGCAUUAGACGGCACUGACAGCAAAUGUUGUUAAUUAUCUGAUCAACAUAGGUAUGAUGGAUUUUCAAUCUUAUUUAAAGUUUAUACUGUCUCCAGAAAGCUGGGUAAUAUGCUUUGUUAUUCCAUGUAAAUCUCUAAUGUGUCUACACAGCUGUCUGCGUGUCUGCUCAUUAUGUGGGGGGAGAAAUCUUUUGGCACUUUUCAUGCUUUUCCCCAAAGAACACCUCUAACCAAGCAAAAGCAAUCUGAUUCCCCAGCUGGAAUGAUGUAAGUGGAAUUAAAUAUUUUUAAAUGA